ensembl:lncRNA LOC120103476 uncharacterized LOC120103476
CCUUGACAGGAAAGGUCAAGGGCUGAGACAUGGAAAAUCGCUGGCUAUCGGAGACCAGGGAAGCAAGAGGAGCCAAAAGGAAUCGGUCAAAGAGAUACAAGAGUUCAGAGUCCCAGGAGCCAAGAGAAGCAAGUAUUUCAGACAGGAGGGAUUCAUCAGCCCCCAGAGUCAGUGACUUGUCCAAGACAAGAGCUGGGACUUCAGUGUGGGGCUUGACAGUGCAGAAGUCACCACAAGCCUAACUGUAAGAGCUUCAAGAGCGUUGGGGUGUGCGCUUGACUGGAGUAGAUCCGAGGAAGAAUAGGAGGAAGAAAAGGAAUCAGAAACUCGUGGGGUAAAUGACUUACUCUGGAGCUGAAACAGGGAAUGUACGAAACAAACCGGAGAACAUCUUAUGCCUGAGAGGAAGAAAGCACACCGUGGACGAGGAAGAUACAGCAAAAGGACAGAAGCUUCAGCUUAAAAGACAUCGAAAAUAAUGAGAGUAAUGGGUUACAGUCUUUGACUAAACUCGGACUCCGUAUGUCUAUCUAUGUUAAUAUAAAUAAGUGAACGGAUUAUUGGAGGAGAAGACUAGCUCUCAUUUAUAGUACAAGGCCAACCAAUAAAAACAGAAGACGUGAUGGGACUGACACUCUUCAUGUAGCAAACAGUCUAAAGGGGGUUCAUUCUGUCAGUGAGGACUAAGGUCAGUACUUGGAAGUCUGAUAAGAAACUGUAGGUUUUUGCCUCAGACUGAGUCCCCACAAAAUUUUAAACAAAUGCAAUCGAGAAAAAUGUUCCGUUUAAGGCAGAGAGGCCCUGAAAGCAUCAGCAUGUGCCUCCGGAUGUGAGGCUCUAUGUAGAGAGCAUUUCCGUAGACUUACAGCCAAGAAUGCACAACCUCGGUCCGAUCAUAAGAAACUAAGCCCAAAUCAGAGGUCACCACGCAGAAUACACAGCUAACUGUCAAGCACAGGGAGAACAAGGAUGGACAGAGGGGCUGCAGCUGUGUGAAGAAACCUGAGGAGACACGAGAACCAAGGCACUGCCUGUUCUUGGACUGAGGCCUGGAGCGCAGAGGAGAAAGGAAUCUGGAGGAUUCUUGGUGAAAAUCAAAUACAGCUAGUGAACUGGCCAGGGCUGUUACGCCACACCGGAUAAUCAGGUCUGGAGAGCCGCAUGUUGGUGCUGAAGGAAAGAGUACUUGUCUGGAGAAAAUACAUCCUGGAAUGUGGCAGGGGACGGUUCCAUCAUGGCUCCAGCUCCCACUCAAGUGGAUGAGAAGCAAAGACCAUUCAUAGCCCAACUAGGGGGACAGCGGAUGGCAAUAAAUACACAAAACAUUAAUGAGUGGAGAGACUGGUGAGGGAGUGCUUGCAUUCCAGAAACUUCAAAAAUGAUUUCAAAAUGAAUGAAAGGGAAUCUAUUAUGUAAUAGCUAUAUACAGCUAUGUAUUUAGGCAGACACACAUCCAGGGUGGUGCAAAUUAAAACUACAUGAGAUCCUAUGACACAUCAACAAAAGAGCUAGUUAAAAUAACCGUAGUACCCCAUGUUCAAAAGGGUGUGGAGGAAGAGGAGC